rnacentral:rRNA from 1 species
GACGAACGCUGGCGGCGUGCCUAAUACAUGCAAGUUGAGCGCUGAAGGUUGGUACUUGUCCCAACUGGAUGAGCAGCGAACGGGUGAGUAACGCGUGGGGAAUCUGCCUUUGAGCGGGGGACAACAUUUGGAAACGAAUGCUAAUACCGCAUAAAAACUUUAAACACAAGUUUUAAGUUUGAAAGAUGCAAUUGCAUCACUCAAAGAUGAUCCCGCGUUGUAUUAGCUAGUUGGUGAGGUAAAGGCUCACCAAGGCGAUGAUACAUAGCCGACCUGAGAGGGUGAUCGGCCACAUUGGGACUGAGACACGGCCCAAACGCCUACGGGAGGCAGCAGUAGGGAAUCUUCGGCAAUGGACGAAAGUCUGACCGAGCAACGCCGAGUGAGUGAAGAAGGUUUUCGGAUCGUAAAACUCUGUUGGUAGAGAAGAACGUUGGUGAGAGUGGAAAGCUCAUCAAGUGACGGUAACUACCCAGAAAGGGACGGCUAACUACGUG